UACGUAGGCACCAAGCGUUGUCCGGAUUUAUUGGGCGUAAAGAGCUCGUAGGCGGUGUGUCGCGUCGGCCGUGAAAACCUGCAGCUUAACCGUGGGCUUGCGGUCGAUACGGGCAUCACUGGAGUUCGGCAGGGGAGACUGGAAUUCCUGGUGUAGCGGUGAAAUGCGCAGAUAUCGGGAGGAACACCUAUGGCGAAGGCAGCUCGCUGGGACGUUACUGACGCUGAGACGCGAAAGCGUGGGGAGCAAACAGG
rnacentral:rRNA from 1 species